AGUGAACGCUGGCGGCGUGCUUAACACAUGCAAGUCGAACGAGAACGGAAUAUAGCUUGCUAUAUUUGUCAGCUAAGUGGCGCACGGGUGAGUAAUGUAUAGAUAACCUGCCCUUAAGAAAGGAAUAACAGUUGGAAACGACUGCUAAUGCCCUAUAUGCCUUUAAUACAUAAGUAUGCAAGGGAAGCGCUUUAGUGCUUAAGGAUGGGUCUGUAUGGUAUCAGCUUGUUGGUGAGGUAAUGGCUCACCAAGGCUAUGACGCCUAACUGGUUUGAGAGGAUGAUCAGUCACACUGGAACUGAGACACGGUCCAGACUCCUACGGGAGGCAGCAGUGGGGAAUAUUGCACAAUGGACGAAAGUCUGAUGCAGCAAUGCUGCGUGGAGGAUGACACAUUUCGGUGCGUAAACUCCUUUUAUAUAGGAAGAUAAUGACGGUACUAUAUGAAUAAGCACCGGCUAACUCCGUGCCAGCAGCCGCAGUAA
rnacentral:rRNA from 1 species